rnacentral:rRNA from 1 species
UACGUAGGGUGCGAGCGUUGUCCGGAAUUACUGGGCGUAAAGCGUGCGUAGACGGCUAUCUAAGUCGGGUGUGAAAGCCCCGGGCUCAACCUGGGAAUUGCAUUCGAGACUGAAUAGCUAGGGUACGGUAGAGGGAAGCGGAAUUUCCGGUGUAGCGGUGAAAUGCGUAGAGAUGUGGAGGAACACCGAUGGCGAAGGCAGCCCCCUGGGCUAACACUGACGCUCAUGCACGAAAGCGUGGGGAGCAAACAGG